rnacentral:rRNA from 1 species
AGCCCAUCAGCUAGCUCACACCCAAAACACAACAACUCAUUUUAAAUAACCCCUAAUAGACCUUAUACAUUAUUGAACCAAAUCAUUCUCCCUCCCAAGUACGGGCGACAAAAAAGGACAGAGGAAGCGACAGCGACAGUACCGCAAGGGAACGCUGAAAGAGAACUGAAACAAAUCAGUAAAGCACUAAAAAGCAGAGUUUAACCCUCGUACCUUUUGCAUCAUGGUUUAGCAAGAAAACAUCAAGCAAAAAGCAUUUUAGUUUGACACCCCGAAACCAAGUGAGCUACUCCAAGACAGUCUUCUGGACGCACCCGUCUCUGUGGCAAAAGAGUGGGAUGAGCUUUGAGUAGAGGUGACAGACCUAUCGAACUUGGUUAUAGCUGGUUGCCCGGGAAUUGAAUAGGAGUUCAGCCUCUUGCCUUCUCCUCCCACAUAAGUUAACACACCCAAAGAGAUCGAAGAAGACAAGAGAGUUAGUCAAAGGGGGAACAGCCCCUUUGAAUUAAGAUACAACUUUCCAAGAUGGGUUAAGAUCAUAUCCCCAGCAAGGAUGCGUGUUCUAGUUGGCCUAAAAGCAGCCACCCACACAGAAAGCGUUAAAGCUCAUACACCCUUCCCGCCCCUAUUAUUUUGAUUACUAAAUCUUAUCCCCCUACAAAUACCGCGCCUCUCCAUACCCCUAUGGAAGAGACCAUGCUAAUAUGAGUAAUAAGAGACCUCGAAUCUCUCCUCGCACAAGUGUACAUCGGAACGAACCACCACCGAAAAUUAACGGCCCCAGAAGAGGGUAUUGGAAAAACUUUGGCCCCGCCACAAGAGAACCGUCCACACCUCAACCGUUAACCUUACACCAGCGUGCCCACAAGGAAAGACUAAAAGAAAAAGAAGGAACUCGGCA